UGAUAUCUGUCUGAAUUGUCUCAAUGAGAAAACUUAAAACUUUCAACAACGGAUCUCUUGGUUCUCGCAUCGAUGAAGAACGCAGCGAAAUGCGAUAAGUAGUGUGAAUUGCAGAAUUCAGUGAAUCAUCGAAUCUUUGAACGCACAUUGCGCCUCCUGGCAUUCCGGGAGGCAUGCCUGUUCGAGCGUCAUUAAAACCGACUCAAGCAUGUUUGCUUGGACUUGGAGGAAGAGCGUGCCCUUUGGGUGGGUUCCCCUCCGAAAUGCAAUGGCGGAUGGUCCAUGUGGACACCGACGUAGUAAGAGCAAUCUCUCGUCGUGGCCCUGGAUCGUCCCGCCCACAAUCCCCACAAACAAUCAUGGUUGACCUCGGAUCAGGUAGGGAUACCCGCUGAACUUAAGCAUAUCAAUAA
rnacentral:rRNA from 1 species